rnacentral:rRNA from 1 species
UACGAAGGGGGCUAGCGUUGCUCGGAAUGACUGGGCGUAAAGGGCGCGUAGGCGGUUUGGACAGUCAGAUGUGAAAUUCCUGGGCUCAACCUGGGGGGCUGCAUUUGAUACGUUCGGACUAGAGUGGGGAAGAGGGUCGUGGAAUUCCCAGUGUAGAGGUGAAAAUUCGUAGAUAUUGGGAAGAACACCGGUGGCGAAGGCGGCGACCUGGUCCUUGACUGACGCUGAGGCGCGAAAGCGUGGGGAGCAAACAGG